rnacentral:rRNA from 1 species
AUUGAACGCUGGCGGCAGGCCUAACACAUGCAAGUCGAGCGGAUGAAGGGAUCUUGCUCCUGGAUUCAGCGGCGGACGGGUGAGUAAUGCCUAGGAAUCUGCCUGGUAGUGGGGGAUAACGUCCGGAAACGGGCGCUAAUACCGCAUACGUCCUGAGGGAGAAAGUGGGGGAUCUUCGGACCUCACGCUAUCAGAUGAGCCUAGGUCGGAUUAGCUAGUUGGUGGGGUAAAGGCCUACCAAGGCGACGAUCCGUAACUGGUCUGAGAGGAUGAUCAGUCACACUGGAACUGAGACACGGUCCAGACUCCUACGGGAGGCAGCAGUGGGGAAUAUUGGACAAUGGGCGAAAGCCUGAUCCAGCCAUGCCGCGUGUGUGAAGAAGGUCUUCGGAUUGUAAAGCACUUUAAGUUGGGAGGAAGGGCAGUAAGUUAAUACCUUGCUGCUUUGACGUUACCAACAGAAUAAGCACCGGCUAACUUCGUG